rnacentral:rRNA from 1 species
UACGUAGGGGCCAAGCGUUGUCCGGAUUUAUUGGGCGUAAAGAGCUCGUAGGCGGUUCGGCAAGUCAGCUGUGAAAUCUCCACGCUCAACGUGGAGGGGUCAGCUGAUACUGCUGUGACUUGAGUCCGGUAGGGGAGUGUGGAAUUCCCGGUGUAGCGGUGAAAUGCGCAGAUAUCAGGAGGAACACCGAUGGCGAAGGCAGGUCUCUGGGCCACUACUGACGCUGAGAAGCGAAAGCAU